rfam:Camelus ferus unplaced genomic scaffold scaffold859, whole genome shotgun sequence.
GGGGGUAUAGCUCAGAGGUAGAGCGCAUGCCUCGCAUGCAUGAAGUCCUGGGUUCCAUCCCCAGCACCUACA